GACGAACGCUGGCGGCGUGCUUAACACAUGCAAGUCGAACGAUGAAGUUCCUUCGGGAAUGGAUUAGUGGCGAACGGGUGAGGAACACGUGAGAAACCUGCCUUUCAUUUUGGGAUAACUCCGGGAAACCGGGGCUAAAACCGAAUACUCCGUCUCGGCGGCAUCGCUGAGCCGGGACACAAUUUUGAUGAAAGAUGGUCUCGCGGCCUAUCAGCUAAUUGGUGAGGUAAUGGCUCACCAAGGCAACGACGGGUAGCCGGCCUGAGAGGGCGACCGGCCACACUGGGACUGAGACACGGCCCAGACUCCUACGGGAGGCAGCAGUGGGGAAUAUUGGGCAAUGGGCGCAAGCCUGACCCAGCGACGCCGCGUGAGGGAUGAAGGCCUUCGGGUUGUAAACCUCUUUCAGUAGGGAAGAAGCGAAAGUGACGGUACCUAAAGAAGAAGCACCGGCUAACUAUGUGCCAGCCGCCGCCGUAA
rnacentral:rRNA from 1 species